rnacentral:lncRNA from 1 species
GAUGUGUUUCAAUCAAAUGACCGCCUCCUCCUCCUUCCCCUCCCUCCUCAGAUAUUCUUCACAGCUCAAGAGAACAGGAGAGCCCUUAGGCUCAGGGUGAGCUGGGCUGCUGAAUCAAGGUGGAGAUCAGCUAAGCUCCAAACACAGAGAAAUGUGGAACUCGUUCAACGUAAUCUACUGAGCCCUGCCUAAACCAGGAAAGCUAAGGCGCACUAGUAGGGAGCAAGGGACAACUGUUAGCAUCAUCUGGACUAGAUGCAUCUCAGAAAAACAACAGCAACAACAACAGCAGCAACAGCAACAGCAAAAAGAGAAACAACAGCAACAACAGAACAGCAACAGCAGCAACAACAGUAACGACAGCAACAAUAACAGCCAAAAACCGAAAAUGGCUUGAUUUAGCCCAGCCAAAGCUGGAGAAAAGGAAAUUUUCAGUCUGCCCUGCUGUGCCUACAGCAGUGUUACAACUUACAGAAGAGAGAAACUAAAGCCAGGAAACACGCACAUGUCAUUUAGCUGUGGUCCUGGACACAGGAACAGACAAAGAGGCUUUUUCAUGGUUCUACUCAGCACAGUAUUUCCUACAGGCUUCCUGUGGUGGUUUCAGUGAGACUCAUCCCAAAAGCUUAUGUAUGUGACUGCUUGAUUCCCAGUGGAAUUGCUUGAGAAGGAUUAGAUGUGGCCUUGCUGGAGUAAGUAUGGCCUUGUUGGAGUAAUUGUGUUUUGGGAGUGGGCUUUGGGGUUUCAAAUUCGCUUGCUGGGCCCAGUCUCUCUCUCUCUCUCUCUCUCUCUC